UACGUAGGGGGCAAGCGUUGUCCGGAAUUAUUGGGCGUAAAGAGCUCGUAGGCGGUUUGUCGCGUCUGCUGUGAAAACCCGAGGCUCAACCUCGGGCCUGCAGUGGGUACGGGCAGACUAGAGUGCGGUAGGGGAGAUUGGAAUUCCUGGUGUAGCGGUGGAAUGCGCAGAUAUCAGGAGGAACACCAAUGGCGAAGGCAGAUCUCUGGGCCGUAACUGACGCUGAGGCACGAAAGCGUGGGGAGCAAACAGG
rnacentral:rRNA from 1 species